CACAUAGGAGAAAGUUCUUAAUGUUAUAUAAGCAUGAACUUCUCUUAAUCAUGUACACAUAUUUUAAAACGGUGAAGACCCUUUAGGUUCAAAGGGAACAAGUGUUUGUGCAGGGGGAACAGGCCCUUAUAUUCCAUGUACUUUGUCAUGUUUUUAUAAUAAGAUCAUAGAAAUUAACAAUUGGGUUGAUGCACAGUUGGUGAACCAUGGAGUCAGUUCUUCCCUUGUGGAGAACCUGAAACAUGAGAUUGUAGAAUUUUACAAGCUUCCCUUGGAAGAGAAGAUGAAAUAUAAGAUGCCAGGUGAUGCUGAAGGAUAUGGGCCGUCUAUAAGAUCAGAAGAUCAAAAACUUGACUGGGCUGAUAGGUUUUACAUGAUAACCAAGCCUAUUCAUAGAAGGAAGCCACAUCUAUUGCCACAGCUCCCUCCAUCACUAAGGUUCUCCUGAUCCCUCUUCUGAUUCUUCUUCAGAGAUACUUAAUUCUUGUUCUUCUACCAGCCAUGUAUAUAAAUUUUUUCUCUUGAUCACUGCAGGGAUAACUUGGAACUGUACAUAUCAGAGUCGCAGAAACUCGCCAUGAGACUUCUAGGGUUGAUGGCUAGAGCUAUAAAGUUGGACAAGAGAGAGAUGGAAGAGUUGUUUGAUGAUGGAAGGCAGGAAGUGAGGAUGACUUACUAUCCUCCAUGUCCACAAUCAGAGAUGGUUAUGGGCAUUGCGCCUCACUCCGAUCCUACAGGCAUCACCAUCCUUCUCCAAGUUAAUGAAGUGGAUGGUCUCCAGAUAAAGAAAGAUGGGGUUUGGAUUCCUGUAAACCUCCUCCAAGAUGCACUUGUAGUUAAUGUGGGAGACAUCCUGGAGGUUUCCCCCUCCUUAUUCUUUUACUAGAAUUUGCUUCUCUUUUUUGGCUACACAGUAGUGAUCCUCGCUUUUUAAUUUGCAGAUUGUGAGCAAUGGGAUGUAUACUAGCAUUGAGCAUAGGGCAACUGUAAAUAGUACAAAAGAGAGGAUCUCUAUUGCCAUGUUUUUCAGCCCCAAAUUUUCAGCUGAGAUUGGACCCGCUCCUGGUUUGAUAACUCCUCAAAACCCCCCAGUGUUCAAACGAAUAGGCAUGGAAAAAUACUACCAAGAUUUCUUCUCUCGCAAGCUGGAUGGGAAAUCUAACCUGGAGCAUAUGAAGAUAAAAAAAUGAGACAAACAAUGGAUGAAUGAUUAGUACAGAAUGAAAUGGUUUGGGACAAAUUAGGCAGUUGAUUUGGCACACGAUGUGUGAUAAUAGGGCUAACAUGCUAGCAGUUGGCAGGCGCUGACAUGGAGGGCGACAUGUACCUGCGUUUACGGUGAACUUCUUUUUAUUAUUUAUUUUGAUAUUAAAAAAAAUAUAUUUUGUAUUUAUUUGAAGUGUUGAAAUCUAUGAAUCAAUGAUGAGUUCUAGGUUAGGCUCUAUAGGAAAGUCGCUAGACACCAUGGACGAAAGUGAAUCGACUAUCCCUUUGCGAGUCACGUUAGGAAACGCUUUUAAUUUAAAGAAUAUUUUUGUUAGGAGUCACAUUUCAAAAUAUAAAAAAUUACUUAUAUAAUAUUUUUUUUUUUAAGAAAUAUAAUGAUUUUUCGAAAUAUAUAUAUUUUUAAAGAAAACACUUUUAUUAAAAAUAUUUAAAAAAAAACAUUAUUAAACAUAUUCUUAAUUUUUACUAAAAGUUUGUUUGACAGUAAUUUAAAAUAACGUUUUUGAUUUAAAAAGUGUAUUUUUUAAAUACAAAUAUAUAUUUGAUAAAAUUUAAGAAGUACUUAAAAAAAUAUUAAAAUCACUUGUAAGAUUGAAAAAUCAUUUAUACAUUUUUUGAAAGAACACUUUAUAAAUUUUUUUUAAAAAAAACACUUCGAACGUGUUUAACAGUGAUUUUAAGAAAUAUUUUUAAUAUUUUUAAUACAAAAUUUUAUCAUUCAAGUAUUAAAAAUGUUAGAAACACUUCUUAGAGUCGUUAUCAAACACACUUUUGUAAUAUCUAGUAAAUACACACUAAGUAAAUUGAGAAAUUAUGAUAUUUAAUGGAUCGACCGAUGGUAGAAUGUAAAAGAAAAUAGUGUAAUUAACAUGGUGUGUUCCUUACAAAUGAACCUAAAUAAAUGGAAAAUAUGAGAAUCGCACGAAUGAUGUCCAAAAUCUGUCCAUAGGGAACGAUCCAUUUAUCAUUUGGUCGCCAAGAGGUUUUUCAAGUUUUUACAAUCCAUUAGCAUCCAAAUAAAAACUGAAUUCUAGCAGCUCAGAAUUUCCUAAACUGCAAUUUGCUUCGGUGUCUUCCCCGAAGCAUUCUCUCCAGAACUCUUAGCAAAAUAUUCUCAAAUCCUUAGAAAGAAAGUCUCGUGAAUCCUCCCACUCACUGUUCUAAUCAUACGCCCCCCUCCCUGGAUGGAAGCAUGGAAAACCAGAACAGGAAAAGAAUGGAGGGCUGCGUCUAAUUGAUCUCGGGCCAAUCUUUAUUCUAAUUUCUGGUGCAUUGAAAUUGAAAUUUCGGUUCUGAGAACCCAUAAUUCAGUUUGGCUGCUAAAAUAUGAAAUCAACGUUCAAAAUGAUUUUAGAUGAGAAACUGAUUUAGAAGCAAGUUUGAGACACUCCAAGCCAAAAAAAAAGAAAAUCGAUUUAACGCCCUCAGAAAUCGAUUGGAAAUCAAUUUGAGAUCCGAAAAUCCAUCUAGAACAAUUGUAUUUCAAUUUCUACCAUGCAGAAUUGAAAUUUUCAAAAUUUUCCCCCUUAAAUUGGUUUGAAACUAGCCUUUGAUAUUUGUGCAUGCAACCUUUGUCCAACUUUAUCCAUCCUAGUAUCUCAACACAUUGUUGAGGACUCAUGAGGUCAUCUUUGCAUAGUAAAUACACCUUUUAAUGCAUGGCACUGUAAAACAAUAGAAUGAGAAAAAUCAAGACUUCACAUCAAAUCAAGUACAAGGGAUAUAUCCAUGAGUAGAUACAUACAUAAGUGAGAAAGUACUUAUUGUUGAUUUUGAGCCAACUAGAGUCAGGUCCAUUCAACUGUAUGAUAGUUAGACAACCCUCCUCCCUUCUUUGUGCCACUCAAAGAGUCCGCCUAACAAUAAUAAAAUUGGAUGGACUCAUUUCUUGCACAAAAAAGGAUGUCAGGACGGGUGGUCUAGGUAUGCCCCUCUAAAGUUUAAGUCUGGUAAGAAUAGCUCAUGUUGUUUAGUGAGAGAGAGUGAAUAGGUGUAUGUGUGUGUACCUUGUUUGUGCUUUUUGGAGGGUUUAUAUAGUGCUGAUGAGAAUGUCACUGUAGUGCUGGCUAGGCACUAUGACUUUCUUCUAUAAUGAUGAUUGUCUAGCAGACGGUUGGGCAAUCAUCACAGUUUUGGGUGGUUGGCAAUGCCAUCAACUGACGUGCCAGGAUCUUAGACUGUGCAGUCGCCUGUCCUCUCAGCCUGUUGAUAGUCUAGGGUUAUGUGCAGUAAUUAAUUGACAUGAACUUGAGGGCUAGACAAGGUCACAUCAGUUGUUCACAUGUCAAGUGUGAAUGAUUACGCAUGCCAGUGGGUCUUGAAGACUCGACUGGACAGUCCUACUUGUUUGGGGGGUCCGGUCUCUCCUUGUCGUCUGGCCCUAUAAGGAAAAAUGGUCUUCUCAGGCCCGAUGCCAAGCGGAACUAGGUGUAAUCCAAACAGAAUGAUCUAGGUCGGAAAAAAGGACAUGUGGAGGGGAGCCCCCUACAACGCCCUCUUAACCCGUCUACCUAUGUUAGGGCAGAGGUGGAAUGGGUUCCGUGUCUCUUCAAGUUAUCUAAGCAUUUUUGGGACACGUGUCACUUGGGGAAUCAAUGAUGGGCUGCGUUCAUCGAGGCCACCUAUUAUGCGAUUGAUUACUACUCAAAACAUGCUAUUUUGUAGCUUGUAAUUAGUUCUUUUAAACACCCUUGAGUAGUAAUUAUUACCUUUUAACCCAAUUAACAUGUUAGGGACCCUUGCAAUCGUUUCUAACAAUUGUGUUAAGUUUUGGUGCUUUUUGAUAGCUUUAUGCUCACUAAAGCAAUUUAAGAAUGAGGGAGAGCUAUUUAUAGUUCAUGGAAAAGCUUUUGAAAGCUUAAAUUUAUGAAGAAAUCAAGCUAUGGAGCCUCAUAACCCUUUGCCUUAUUCGUUCAAAGUAUACAAGGAAGAAACAAUGGAGAAGAGGAAAACAGGGGAUGAAAAUAGGGGACACAGCUGCAGUCUUUCAUCACACUUUUGGAGCACUUCCCGAAGUCCAUUUUUUACAUUCUAUAUACCAUUUCAAAGCUCAGAAAGUCAAGAAUCCAACGGUUUAAACCAUGUACAAUUUGGAUCUGAAAUGAGAAAGAUAUGGCCUUCGGAACACAACUGCAUCAAGCUGAGGGACAAUUUCGCACACCACUGUGCAAGGUGCGAAUUCCUCAGUCCACUGUGCGAGAAUUUCGCACACCUCAAAUCAAGGUGCGAAAUUGGAACUCCAGCGUGCGAAAAUUGGAUAUUUUUGCCGACUCUUUUUCUUCUGAUAUUUUUGUGUCUAAAUUUCCAUUUUCUCCUUGUAUUCAACCACUCAUGUAAUUCCUUAGCUAGGAAGUAUCCAAGGAAGGGUAAAAUUACCUUCCUAUAUAAAUUCUCUUGUAAUCACUGAAAAGUAUCUUCGGAGCUUUCUCUAGGAGACCAACUGAUGUAAAUUUGAUACUUAGUGAAAUACAGAGAUCUCUUUUGCUUUCUUUUUCUCUCUUCUAUUUUCUCUUUUCUUGCAAGCCAAACACCCUCUGAGGAUGUUUUCCCAGAGGAUGAGAGGCUAAGCAUUUAGUUUCUUGGAGUAAAGGAAGCUAGGUGAAAAGUCUAGAUUAAAAGGUGGAAAGUUUCCGUGCAUUAAAUUCAGGUAGUUGGAGUCCAUAAAUGGCUUUUAAAGCCAAGGUUUUGCCUUAAAUCCCUUAGAAUCACUUUGACUGGCCAAUACAUGGUAAGCUUAAGGUCUCUGUGGAUGCUUAUUGCUAGAUCCAUAUCAAUCCAUUAGUUAUCAUGUACGAGCCAUUGGAAAGUGAUUCAAGGUGAUAGCCCAUAGUGUCUUAAGCCAUUAAUGGACCUUGACUACCAUCUCUAGUGACUUUUUAUGGAUUAAAACUUCAUUGUCAAACCUAUACCGGUUCGGGAAAUAACUAUAGGUUAAAUCCCCAAUGCGAGGAGAAAAAUCCGGAAUUUUCCACUUUGCAUCUGGAACUUGAACCUAGCAACCUUUAGCUCCGGGAGACUUUCUUUCUUCCACUUUUUACUUAGUUCUAUGUGAGUUUAGUUUAAAUCACCACUUUCAAAACAAUUUUAUGUUCUUUUAAAUUUCAAGUUUGUGCUAAAGGAAAUCAUCAGAAUCAAUUUCUAAUUUAGAGUCUGUCACUGAUAGAGUGAAAACCCAUCCCUGAGUUCGACCCUAGAACUGCUAUACUAUAGUAGCUUUGCUACGCCAGUAUAAGGUCAUAGGUUUUAUAAAUGUUUUUGAUUAAAAGACCCGGCUGGGCAUCGAAUCAAAUGGCGUCGUUGCCGGGGAUGGUGCCACAAUACAGUAAUACAACCUUUUAGAGGCUACUUGUGAUUUUCAUCACAACCAGGGUGAAUUCCUUUUUCACUAAUUUCAUUUUCUUUCAUUUUCCUUUUGUUAAUUUUAUUUUCUUUUUCUUCCUAACUUUAACCUUUUCUUUAGUUUUCUUUUUGUUUUUAUUAUUACAGGAAUUGUAACUUGUGCAUGCCCUAUUGGAUUAGGGACCAAGAGGGAAGAUUAGUAAGGAUUGAGAAUCCUCAAGACACAGAGUUGGAUAUCUGUGUAAAUAUCAUGGACCCUCCACUAGAGGAUCAGAAUUCUCAACAAGGUCAAGGGGGUAAUCCCAAUGCAUACCUAUCCAUGAGGGAUAGAAUGCAUCCACCAAGGAUGAGUGCACCCUCAUGCAUCCUACCCCCUCUUGAGCAGUUAGUUAUAAGGCCCCAUAUUGUGCCCCUCCUACCAAAUUUCCAUGGAAUGGAGAGUGAGAAUCCAUAUGCUCACAUCAAGGAGUUUGAGGAGGUGUGUAAUACCUUUAGAGAGGGAGGAGCUUCAAUAGACUUGAUGAGACUCAAGCUAUUCCCUUUCACUUUGAAGGACAAGGCAAAAAUAUGGCUUAAUUCUUUAAGGCCAAGAAGCAUAAGGAAUUGGGUUGAUCUUCAGGCUGAGUUUUUGAAAAAAAUUUUCCCCACUCAUAGGACCAAUGGGUUGAAGAGACAAAUCUCAAAUUUUUCUGCUAAAGAAAAUGAGAAGUUCCAUGAAUGUUGGGAAAGGUAUAUGGAGGCCAUCAAUGCUUGUCCUCAUCAUGGUUUUGAUACAUGGCUCUUAGUGAGCUAUUUUUAUGAUGGAAUGUCUUCUUCCAUGAAGCAAAUUCUUGAAACCAUGUGUGGGGGAGAUUUUAUGAGUAAGAAUCCUGAAGAAGCCAUGGACUUUUUAAGUUACGUGGCUGAGGUGUCAAGAGGAUGGGAUGAGCCCAACUCAAGAGAGAAAGGAAAGUUUCCCUCUCAACAAACCCAAAAUCCAAAGGCUGGAAUGUACAUGUUAAGUGAAGACGUGGACAUAAAAGCUAAAGUGGCAACAAUAGCUAGGAGGUUGGAAGAACUUGAAUUGAAAAAAAUACAUGAAGUCCAAGCCAUUUCCAAAACGCAAGUCCAUGUUAUGCCAUGCACCAUUUGCCAAUCAUGUGAUCAUGUGGUAGAUGAGUGUCCAACCAUGCCAGCUGUGAGAGAGAUGUUAGGUGAUCAAGUAAAUGUUGUGGGGCAAUUUAGGCCCAACAAUAGUGCAUCUCAUGGAAACACCUAUAAUUCAAGCUGGAGAAACCACCCAAAUUUUUCUUGGAAACCAAGGCCACCUCCAUACCAACCACAAGGCCAAACCCAAGUACCUCAACAACCAUCUUCAGUGGAGCAAGCCAUUGUAAACCUGAGUAAAGUCAUGGGUGACUUUGUGGGUGAACAAAAGGCAAUUAACUCCCAAUUGCAUCAAAAGAUUGAAAAUGUUGAGAGUUCUCAAAUAAAGAGAAUGGAGGGGAUGCAAAAUGAUCUAUCUCAGAAGAUAGAUAAUAUUCAGUACUCCAUCUCUAGGCUUACCAACCUAAACACAGUGAUUGAGAAGGGAAAGUUCCCCUCUCAACCAAGCCAAAAUCCCAAGGGUGUUCAUGAAGUUGAAACCCAAGAUGGUGAGUCUUCAAAUUUGAGGGAGGUUAGAGCUGUGAUCACUUUAAGGAGUGGAAAAGAGGUUGAUCAACCCCUGCCUAAGGUGGGGCAUGAUGAAGAACUCAUAUCAAAGAGACCCUUGAUUAAAGAGGGCAAUAACCAGGAAGAGAAGAGUGGGAAGAAGAGUGCAUCCAAAUCAAGCAUCGAGGAAGAACCAAGGAUAGUGAUUAAGGAGGAUAUGAUGAAGAAACAUAUGCCUCCCCCUUUUCCUCAAGCUUUACAUGGAAAGAAAGAAAUCAAGAAUUCAUCAGAAAUUCUUGAGGUUCUGAGACAAGUGAAGGUGAAUAUACCCUUACUUGAUAUGAUCAAACAAGUCCCCACAUAUGCAAAGUUUCUAAAGGACUUGUGCAUAGUCAAGAGAGGUUUACAGGUGACAAAGAAUGCAUUCCUCACUGAGCAAGUGAGUGCUAUCAUCCAGAGUAAGUCCCCAGUUAAGUAUAAAGAUCCGGGAUGUCCCACCAUAUCAGUCAACAUUGGAGGGACACAUGUGGAAAAAGCUUUAUUAGAUUUGGGAGCAAGUGUGAAUUUGCUCCCAUACUCUGUGUAUAAACAAUUAGGACUAGGAGGAUUGAAGCCCACAACCAUGACCCUCUCCUUAGCUGAUAGGUCGGUCAAAAUCCCAAGAGGAGUGAUAGAGGAUGUUCUAGUUCAAGUGGACAAAUUCUACUAUCCUGUGGAUUUUGUGGUGCUUGAUACUGAUUCCACUGUCAAGGAAGAAAAUUAUGUACCAAUCAUCCUAGGGAGACCUUUCCUAGCUACCUCCAAUGCUAUUGUUAAUUGUAAGAAUGGGGUGAUGCAGCUCACAUUUGGAAACAUGACAUUGGAAUUAAACAUAUUCCAUUUAUGUAAGAGGCAUCUUUACCCUGAUGAGGAGGAAGGAUUUGAGGAGGUGUGCUUGAUCAACACUUUGGUUGAAGAGCACUGUGACAAGAGUUUAGAGGAGAGCUUGAAUGAAAACCUGGAAGUCCUUGAAGAUGGGUUCCUUGAACCCUCUGAUGUGCUAGCCAUUAUGUCUCCUUGGAGGAGACGGGAAGAGAUCUUACCACUGUUCAACCAGAAAGACUCACAAGGAGUUGCUGUGGAGGACCCUCCAAAGCUUAUUUUAAAGCCACUUCCUGUGGGUUUGAAGUAUGCAUACUUGGAGGAUGAUGAGAAAUGUCCAGUGGUAGUUUCCUCAACCCUCACUAGUGAUCAAGAGGAUAGUCUUUUAGGAGUCCUCAGAAAAUGUAAGAAAGCCAUAGGAUGGCAAAUUUCUGAUCUGAAAGGGAUUAGCCCUUUGGUGUGCACCCACCAUAUUUAUAUGGAGGAAGAUGCAAAACCAGUGAGGCAACCCCAAAGGAGACUGAAUCCUCACAUGCAAGAAGUGGUGAGGAAUGAAGUUUUGAAGUGAUUACUACCAAAAAGUGUUAUUUUGUAGACCUAAUUAUAAUGGUUUUAAGCACCUUUGAGUAGUAAUCAUAUUCAUUUAACCCAAUUAAUUCAUUAAGGUCCUUAGUAAUUGGUUUUAACCAUUUUGUGGCAAGUUUACAUGUUUUUAUCAGCUUAUGAAUCGAUUCAAGCAUGCCAAAUGAUGGAGGAGCUACUUGGACAAGUUAAAGCAAGGAUUUUGGACAUUUACAGGCUUGAAUUUCAAGUAGAAACACGAGCACAAGCAAAGAGAAGCAAAGUGGAAAAGCAAACAAUGGAGAAGAGGAAAACAGAGGACAGCAGCUGCAGUCUUCUUUCGCACUUUUGGAGCACUUCUCGAAGUCCAUUUUUUACAUUCUAUAUACCAUUUCAAAGCUCUGGAAGUCAAGAAUCCAACGCUUCAAACCGUGCACGAUUUGGAGUUGAAAUGAGGAAGAUAUGGCCUUCGGAAGCCAACUGCUCCAGCAUAUGCGAAAAUUUCGCAUUCCACAAGAACAUAUGCGAAAUUCGCAUUUGGUUCGCAUUUGGUUCGCAUAACCCAUGCGUGUUGCGAAUUUUGCUCUGCCCUUUGCCGACUCCACUUUAGAUAUUUUCCUUUGUAUUUUGUGAUGUAAUUUCCUUUAUUAUCCUUGUAACUAACCAAUCAUAAGCUUUGGCUUUUGUAAAGACUAUAUAAGGGGUGGAAAUCACCUCUUGAAAAGAUAGACGCAUAUAUACAGACGGAGCCUUGCUCUGUUUUUCUCUCUUCUCCAGCUCUCCCGUUUCUAUUUUCUUAGUAGCCAAAUAGCCUCUAAGGGCUUUUCCUUAGAGGAUGAUUGGCUAAAACUUUUAGUUUCUCAAAGUAGGGAUGUUAUGUGAUGGCUUGGAUGCAAUCCCAUGGAAAUUUCUUGCACUCGGAAGGUAAGGUAGACGUUUUUCAUUAAAGGUUCAUUAAGGCAAAGUUUGGUUUUUAUUUCCUUUGGACAACUUCCAAUGGCCAAUACUUGAUAAGCUUUUGGAUUUCUAUCCAUUAGUUAUCUCCUACGAGCUAUUGGAAGGUGAGGUUUUCAAUUCCAAGUUUUGUAUUAAUCCAUUAGAACCAAUUUCAAAUGGCCAUUGAAAGGUGAGUUUAUCACCUAGAAUGACUUUGAGUUGCCAAUAUUUGGUAAGCUUUUGGCUUUAGACCAUUAGUUAUCUCUUACGAGCCAUUCAAAGGAAGUCUAAGGUGAAUAACCAUUGAUGAAAUUCACUACCAUCUGUUUUGCCAUUUUAAAGGAUUAAAACUUGAUUUGCUAAAUCCAUACCGGUUCGGGAAGCAAGCAUCACCAUAGUUGCAACCCCAACGCGAGGAGCCUAUCCUGAGAUUUCCAAUUUGCAUAAGAGCCAGAGCAUAGCUAUCCUAUCUUUGAGAAACUUGUUUUUACACCCUUUCAUUUUAGUCUUUAAUGUUAGCUUAGAUUAGUUUAAAUCUUUCUGAAAUAUUUACAUCUUUUUUUUAAAGCUAACAGCCAUAAGAAAAUCACCUAUUUUCCUAAAUUAAAUAUCACUUGUGUUUGCGAAAACCCUUCCCAGUGAACGAUCCUAGAACCACUAUGCUAUAGUAGCUUGGCUACUUUAGUAAUAGUAUUCAAGGUAUAAAUUUUGUUGAUACGCCUUUAAAGCUAAGCUACCAUGAGUCGCAUCAAAUGGCGCCGUUGCCGGGGAAGGUGCCACAAGCACAGUGAAGCAACCAUUAAGGGUAACUUGUGAUCUUCAUCACAAGUUUGGUGAGUUUUCUUGUAAUUUUUUUUUUAGUUUAGUUUUAUUUAGUUAAAUUUUUUAUUCUCUUUUCUUUUAUUUUUGUCUUAAUUUCAAUUUGUGCAUUCCUUGUUGGAUUCGAGACCAAGAGGGAACCCUGGUACAAGUUGAAGAAAAGAGCCUUAGUUGAAUAUCAUUUUUUUUAGAAAUGGAAAUUCCACAUGAAGAUCAAAGCUCUCAUUAUGAUCAUGAGAAGGACAAAUUUGCAUACCUAUCCAUGAGGGAUCGGAUUGAAUUAGGGAAAAGGCAAGUUCAACAAAGCCAAUGGGGUAGUAAGUAUGCUUUAAAUGGAGAUGAUUCAUAUGAGCAUACGGUAGGGGAGUGCCCUACCAUUCCAACUAUGAGAGACAUCUACGGUUACCAAAGCUCCUACACCUCAAGUUGGAAUAACCAUCCCAACCUUACAACCCAACCUCAACCUCAACCAUCAAUGAGUACAUCUUCAUUGGAGCAAGCCAUUUUGAAGAUAAGCAAAGUCAUGGAGGACUUUGUAGGUGAGCAACAAAAGAUCAACUCUCAUCUUAAUGAAAAGAUUGAUAAUUUGGAGAGUUCAAUGAAUGUAAGAAUGGAGGGGGUUUAUAAUGAUCUAUCACUAAGGAUAGAAAAAGUUCAAGACUCCAUUGAUAAGCUCACCAAUCUCGACAUAGCAAGGGGGAAAAGGAAGCUUCCUCCUCAACCCCACCAUAACCUUCAAGGAACCAAUGCAAAAAGAUCAAGGAGAGUGUUGAAGAUCGACACUUUGGUGGGGGAUUGCUAUGACAACUUUAUGGACCAACCUUCCAUUGAAAAUCAUAAGGUUCAAGAUGACAAAGGGUUACUUGAACCCUUUAAAGCAUCCACUUCUCCGGGGAAGAGAAGAGAAACGAAUUCCCUUGGACCAAAUGGGAAGGAUGCCAAUUUUGUGUGGGAUCCAGGGGGAAUUCAGCAUGAAGUGGGUGUGUGAGUGAGGAUGAGCUAAAUAGUUCAUCUUCUUUUUGGGGUACAUGCUAUCAGCUUCAUUUAAAUUAUAUGCUUUCUUUAAAUUUAUGCAUGUUUUAGUUUGAAUUCUUAGUUUUAAUAUGUUUUUAAGAUGAGUUUUGAAGUGUUCAUGCAGGUAUGAUGCUUGCAAAAAUCGAAGUUAUGGUGAAAACAAGGGAAAACAGGGGAGAAAAGCCAAAACAGAGCAAUUCGCACCACCCCAUUUCGGCAACUGUUGGGCACAUUUAGAUCACUUCCUGAAACUCAAAUUAUGCAUACGAUAUCUCGUUUCAAAGCUUGGGAAGUCAGGAGUUCAUAGGUUCAAACGGUGCUUGAUUUGGAGCUGAAACGAAGAAGUUAUGGCCGUUUGAAGAUGACUGUGCAAAGCUAAACGGGAAUGUUGCAGCCGCACCCCAUUUUGCUACUGUUGGACACGUUUUUGGAGCACUUUCUGGAGCUCAAAUUAUGCAUACCAUAUCUCUUUUUGAAGCUUAGGAAUUCAGGAGUCCAGUGCUUCAAACGGUGUGCGAUUUGGAUUUGAAACGAAGAAGUUAUCACCAUUUGAAAGAAUCCAAUUUUGCAUUUGGGCGUGUGAAUAGUGCAAAUGCGAAAAUUUCGCAUUCCACCAUGUGAAUAGUGCAAAUGCGAAAUUCGCAUUACCUUUCCCCCUUGUGCGAAAUUUUCGCAUAACACCCCCUUGUGCGAAUUUUUAAGUUUCCCCUGUUUUUAGCCAAAAAUCUCCAAUUUUAACACCCCUGUAAGCUACAUUCAAAUGUCAUUGCAACUUAUAUCAGUAUACCAUCAUGGCAUGGAGCCUUUGAGCCUUGUCCUCAGCUACUCAAAGUGGGGCCCACUCAUCAUUUUUGUAAAUAUUUAGUAUAAAUUCCUCUCUCAUUCAAUUUUUGAAUUUUGAAAUAGGUGGUUCAACCUUCUCAACUCCAAGUCCACAUCACAUGAGGUACCACUUCCUUCCUCCUUAUUUUCGAUUCAAACAUUGAGGACAAUGUUCAUCUCGGUUGGGGGGAGAGAUGAGGAAGUAAGUAUUAGUUUAAAUUUUUAUCUUACUUAGUUAAAUUAGCUAAUUUUUGUUUAAAUUUUAAAAUUUUUGCUUUAAACUCCAUGGAUAUUAAGGAUUAACUCUCAAAAUUAAAUGAGAGAAGUCGAGUUUCAACUUGAUUACAUGAGUCUUAGAGUUUGUAUUAUGCUCUUCUAAAAGUUGAUGAAUUGUUGAAACUCCCAUUGCAUGCAAACUUAUCUCUUCCACCUUAAGCUAUUCGCACACACAUACAUUAGAUUCCGGUUANNNNNNNNNNNNNNNNNNNNNNNNNNNNNNNNNNNNNNNNNNNNNNNNNNNNNNNNNNNNNNNNNNNNNNNNNNNNNNNNNNNNNNNNNNNNNNNNNNNNNNNNNNNNNNNNNNNNNNNNNNNNNNNNNNNNNNNNNNNNNNNNNNNNNNNNNNNNNNNNNNNNNNNNNNNNNNNNNNNNNNNNNNNNNNNNNNNNNNNNNNNNNNNNNNNNNNNNNNNNNNNNNNNNNNNNNNNNNNNNNNNNNNNNNNNNNNNNNNNNNNNNNNNNNNNNNNNNNNNNNNNNNNNNNNNNNNNNNNNNNNNNNNNNNNNNNNNNNNNNNNNNNNNNNNNNNNNNNNNNNNNNNNNNNNNNNNNNNNNNNNNNNNNNNNNNNNNNNNNNNNNNNNNNNNNNNNNNNNNNNNNNNNNNNNNNNNNNNNNNNNNNNNNNNNNNNNNNNNNNNNNNNNNNNNNNNNNNNNNNNNNNNNNNNNNNNNNNNNNNNNNNNNNNNNNNNNNNNNNNNNNNNNNNNNNNNNNNNNNNNNNNNNNNNNNNNNNNNNNNNNNNNNNNNNNNNNNNNNNNNNNNNNNNNNNNNNNNNNNNNNNNNNNNNNNNNNNNNNNNNNNNNNNNNNNNNNNNNNNNNNNNNNNNNNNNNNNNNNNNNNNNNNNNNNNNNNNNNNNNNNNNNNNNNNNNNNNNNNNNNNNNNNNNNNNNNNNNNNNNNNNNNNNNNNNNNNNNNNNNNNNNNNNNNNNNNNNNNNNNNNNNNNNNNNNUUGAGUAGUAAUCAUAUUCAUUUAACCCAAUUAAUUCAUUAAGGUNUUAGUAAUUGGUUUUAACCAUUUUGUGGCAAGUUUACAUGUUUUUAUCAGCUUAUGAAUCGAUUCAAGCAUGCCAAAUGAUGGAGGAGCUACUUGGACAAGUUAAAGCAAGGAUUUUGGACAUUUACAGGCUUGAAUUUCAAGUAGAAACACGAGCACAAGCAAAGAGAAGCAAAGUGGAAAAGCAAACAAUGGAGAAGAGGAAAACAGAGGACAGCAGCUGCAGUCUUCUUUCGCACUUUUGGAGCACUUCCCGAAGUCCAUUUUUUACAUUCUAUAUACCAUUUCAAAGCUCUGGAAGUCAAGAAUCCAACGCUUCAAACCGUGCACGAUUUGGAGUUGAAAUGAGGAAGAUAUGGCCUUCGGAAGCCAACUGCUCCAGCAUAUGCGAAAAUUUCGCAUUCCACAAGAGCAUAUGCGAAAUUUGCAUUUGGUUCGCAUUUGGUUCGCAUAACCCAUGCGUGUUGCGAAUUUUGCUCUGCCCUUUGCCGACUCCACUUUAGAUAUUUUCCUUUGUAUUUUGUGAUGUAAUUUCCUUUAUUAUCCUUGUAACUAACCAAUCAUAAGCUUUGGCUUUUGUAAAGACUAUAUAAGGGGUGGAAAUCACCUCUUGAAAAGAUAGACGCAUAUAUAUAGACGGAGCCUUGCUCUGUUUUUCUCUCUUCUCCAGCUCUCCCGUUUCUAUUUUCUUAGUAGCCAAAUAGCCUCUAAGGGCUUUUCCUUAGAGGAUGAUUGGCUAAAACUUUUAGUUUCUCAAAGUAGGGAUGUUAUGUGAUGGCUUGGAUGCAAUCCCAUGGAAAUUUCUUGCACUCGGAAGGUAAGGUAGACGUUUUUCAUUAAAGGUUCAUUAAGGCAAAGUUUGGUUUUUAUUUCCUUUGGACAACUUCCAAUGGCCAAUACUUGAUAAGCUUUUGGAUUUCUAUCCAUUAGUUAUCUCCUACGAGCUAUUGGAAGGUGAGGUUUUCAAUUCCAAGUUUUGUAUUAAUCCAUUAGAACCAAUUUCAAAUGGCCAUUGAAAGGUGAGUUUAUCACCUAGAAUGACUUUGAGUUGCCAAUAUUUGGUAAGCUUUUGGCUUUAGACCAUUAGUUAUCUCUUACGAGCCAUUCAAAGGAAGUCUAAGGUGAAUAACCAUUGAUGAAAUUCACUACCAUCUGUUUUGCCAUUUUAAAGGAUUAAAACUUGAUUUGCUAAAUCCAUACCGGUUCGGGAAGCAAGCAUCACCAUAGUUGCAACCCCAACGCGAGGAGCCUAUCCUGAGAUUUCCAAUUUGCAUAAGAGCCAGAGCAUAGCUAUCCUAUCUUUGAGAAACUUGUUUUUACACCCUUUCAUUUUAGUCUUUAAUGUUAGCUUAGAUUAGUUUAAAUCUUUCUGAAAUAUUUACAUCUUUUUUUUAAAGCUAACAGCCAUAAGAAAAUCACCUAUUUUCCUAAAUUAAAUAUCACUUGUGUUUGCGAAAACCCUUCCCAGUGAACGAUCCUAGAACCACUAUGCUAUAGUAGCUUGGCUACUUUAGUAAUAGUAUUCAAGGUAUAAAUUUUGUUGAUACGCCUUUAAAGCUAAGCUACCAUGAGUCGCAUCAUGAAGCUACUUCAAGCUGGGAUCAUAUAUCCCAUCUCAGACAGCUGGUGGGUGAGUCCCACCCAAGUAGUCCCAAAGAAAUCUGGAAUCACUGUGAUCCAGAAUGAGAAAGGGGAGGAAGUCUCUACACGUCCUACCUCAGGAUGGAGGGUGUGUAUAGACUAUAGGAUGUUGAAUUCAGUAACUAGGAAGGACCAUUUUCCAUUGCCUUUCAUGGACCAAGUCCUUGAGAGAGUCUCAGGACAUCCUUUUUAUUGUUUUCUAGAUGGUUAUUCAGGGUACUUCCAAAUAGAAAUUGAUUUGGAAGAUCAAGAAAAGACGACCUUCACUUGUCCCUUUGGUACUUUUGCAUAUAGGAGAAUGCCCUUUGGUCUAUGUAAUGCUCCUGCAACUUUCCAAAGAUGCAUGCUAAGCAUCUUCAGUGAUAUGGUGGAACGCAUCAUGGAAGUUUUCAUGGAUGACAUCACUGUAUAUGGAAGUUCUUAUGAGGAGUGUUUGAUGCAUUUAGAAGCUGUUCUCCAUAGAUGUAUUGAGAAAGACCUAGUGCUAAAUUGGGAGAAGUGCCAUUUUAUGGUACAAAAAGGAAUUGUCUUAGGACAUAUCAUCUCCAAAAAUGGCAUUGAGGUAGAUAAGGCAAAGGUGGAGCUGAUUGUUAAGUUGCCACCUCCCACAAAUGUUAAAGGAAUUAGGCAAUUCCUUGGACAUGCCGGGUUCUAUAGGAGGUUCAUUAAGGAUUUCUCAAAAAUCUCAAAACCUCUUUGUGAACUCUUGGUAAAGGAUGCCAAGUUUGUGUGGGAUGAGAAGUGUCAGAGGAGUUUUGAGGAAUUGAAACAAUUCCUCACAACUGCACCAAUAGUCAGAGCCCCAAAUUGGAAAUUACCUUUUGAGGUAAUGUGUGAUUCAAGUGAUCUUGCUAUGGGGGCUGUUUUAGGGCAAAGAGAAGAUGGAAAGCCCUAUGUGAUUUAUUAUGCAAGCAAAACUUUGAAUGAGGCUCAAAGGAACUACACAACUACUGAGAAGGAGUUGUUGGCAGUAGUUUUUGCCUUGGAUAAGUUUCGUGCUUAUUUGGUAGGGUCCUCUAUAGUGGUGUUCACUGACCAUUCCGCUUUGAAGUACUUGCUAACCAAGCAAGAUGCCAAGGCAAGAUUGAUAAGAUGGAUUCUUUUGCUCCAAGAAUUCAAUCUCCAAAUCCGGGAUAAAAAGGGGGUAGAAAAUGUGGUAGCUGACCAUUUGUCCAGACUUGUGAUAGCACAUGACUCACAUGGUCUGCCUAUCAAUGAUGACUUCCCUGAGGAGUCUCUCAUGUCAGUAGAUGUAGCUCCAUGGUAUUCUCACAUUGCAAACUUUUUGGUUACUGGAGAAGUACCAAGUGAGUGGAGUGCUCAAGACAAGAGGCAUUUCUUGGCUAAGAUCCAUGCCUAUUAUUGGGAGGAACCUUUUCUUUUCAAAUAUUGUGCAGAUCAAAUUAUAAGGAAAUGUGUUCCUGAACAAGAACAAUCGGGAAUUCUCUCCCAUUGCCAUGAUAGUGCAUGUGGAGGUCAUUUUGCCUCCCAGAAAACAGCUAUGAAAGUGAUCCAAUCAGGCUUCUGGUGGCCCUCUCUUUUCAAGGAUGCCCAUUCUAUGUGCAAGGGAUGUGAUCGGCGUCAAAGGCUUGGUAAGCUAACACGCCGAAAUAUGAUGCCCUUGAACCCCAUCUUAAUAGUGGAUAUCUUUGAUGUCUGGGGUAUAGACUUCAUGGGACCAUUUCCAAUGUCAUUUGGACAUUCCUACAUCUUGGUAGGAGUGGAUUAUGUCUCUAAGUGGGUAGAAGCAACCCCAUGUAGGAGCAAUGAUCAUAGAGUGGUACUUAAAUUCCUCAAGGACCACAUCUUUGCAAGAUUUGGAGUGCUAAAAGCCAUUAUAAGUGACGGGGGAACCCACUUUUACAAUAAACCUUUUGAGACUCUUCUAGCCAAGUAUGGGGUUAAGCACAAGGUAGCUACACCUUAUCACCCCCAAACAAGUGGCCAAGUUGAGUUAGCCAACCGAGAGAUCAAGAAUAUAUUGAUGAAGGUGGUUAAUGUGAAUAGGAAGGAUUGGUCUAUCAAGCUCCUGGAUUCCUUAUGGGCUUAUAGGACCGCUUACAAGACCAUUCUAGGAAUGUCUCCCUAUCGCCUUGUUUAUGGCAAAGCGUGUCAUCUUCCAGUAGAGAUUGAGUAUAAAGCAUGGUGGGCAAUCAAAAAGCUCAACAUGGAUUUGACAAGAGCCGGGUUAAAGAGAUGUUUGGAUUUGAAUGAAUUGGAGGAAAUGAGGAAUGAUGCAUACCUCAAUUCAAAAAUUGCAAAAGCAAGAUUGAAAAAAUGGCAUGAUCAGUUGGUAAAUCAGAAAAAUUUUACCAAAGGACAAAAAGUUUUGCUUUAUGACUCUAAACUUCAUCUCUUUCCAGGAAAGUUGAAAUCCAGGUGGACGGGUCCUUUCAUAAUUCAUGAAGUGCAUCCCAAUGGAGUGGUGGAAGUAUUCAAUCCCACAGGCAAUCAAACCUUCAAAGUUGAUGGCCAUCGUCUCAAGCCAUUCAUAGAGCCUUACAGUACAGACAAGGAGGAGAUCAACCUCCUUGAACCACCACAACUCUGAUGGAAAGCAGGGUAUCAUGGGCUAAAUAAGUCCAUGAAUUUUUUGUUAUAGUUUUAUAGUUAUAUCAUUAUUUUUAUUUCUUUUUAUUAUAAUUUUUCCUCAAUCUUAGUUUAUUUUGUCUUAAUUCAAGUCAAUUUUGAUGAUAAAUUUCAGAAAAAAAUCAUGAAAGAUGGGGAGAACUCUUCAAAAGCAAGACAGGGGAAUAAAACCAAGGAAAUAGAGCACCUAAUUCCAAGGUGCGAAAAUUUCGCACACCCCAAAACCAAGGUGCGAAAUCCUCGGUCCAAAGGGAGCCAUUUUCGCACACCCCAAAACCAAAGUGCGAAAUUUUGUUCAAGGUGCGAAAAAUGAUUUCAAGGUGCGAAUUCCCUAAAAACCAAUUUCGCACACCACUGUGCAAGGUGCGAAAAUUUUCGCACUGUGCGAAAUCCCCUCCUGGCACACGAGUGCCAUUUUCGCACACCUCUAGCCACUUUUCGCACCGUGCGAAACAAGGUGCGAAAAUUUCGCACACCUGAUUUCAAGGUGCGAAAAUUUCGCACACCUCAUUUUAAGGUGCGAAAUCCUCAGUUAAAGGGGUGCCAUUUUCGCACACCUAAUUUCAAGGUGCGAAAUUUGCAGACCAAGGUGCGAAAAUUUCGCACGGUAAAAUUUUAAGUUCCAAAAAUUUUAAACGGACUUUUAAAUUAAAAUUUUACCCCCGAAAUUGUGCCUAACGUCCAAAAACGACUUUUCGGUUGCCUUGGAAAAUUUUAAAACAUCAAAAACCCCCUAAACCUCAUUCCUAUAUAAUCCCUUGAAGUCCAGAAGCUCAAAGGACUCCCCACAAUCCAGCUGAGAAGCCUCUGGAAUCCCGAACAGUCACCCACCUCCAUUUCGGCCAUGGCGAAGACCAGAGGAGGCCUUUCCGGCUCCCCAUCCUCACCGACACCUCGACCACAUCGAGCCGCCAUGGGAGCCGCAGCUUCGCCACCUGUUCAGGCCCCGGCCAUUCCCCCAUCUGAGGGGGAAGCCCCUUCUCAGCGCCGAUACCCCACCAGGAGACCACCCACGGACCCUGUGCCACCCGCCGAUCAAGCUCAGAGACCUGCUUCUCGGCCCCCUGCCAAGAGAACCAAGUUCUCGGGUCCUGGAGAGUCAUCCCAUGCGCCUCAGGCAGAGCCGCCUACAGAGGAGCCUCGGAUUCCCAUGAUAGCCGGACCACCGAUAGAGGGCAACUUGGAUUGCAGAGAUCGAUCAUUUCACUCCGAGACCUACUUUGAUAUAGAGGCCCUCAGACAGCAGCCAGAGCUCAGAGAUUCAUUCCGACUGCUGCAGAGGUAUCACAUGGAGGAUCUUCUCACUCCUAGGCAAUUCUACUAUCCCAGAGUAGUUAUAGAUUUCUAUCAAUCUAUGACUACUCGAGGCCUCCGCAAUCCUACCCUCAUCCAAUUUACCAUAGACGGACGCCAGGGUGCCAUUGGAGCUCGCCACAUUGCUGAGGCCCUCCGUAUACCUUAUGAGCCUGUGAUUCAGGCAGAUUUCAGGGAGUGGUCCUCAUUCUCUCAGAGCGACAUGGUCCGUAUUUUGUCCAGGGGGACUUCUACAGCCUCAGUGUUGACUAGGAGAGAGCUUCCAUCUGGGAUGCUCCUUAUUGAUGUGCUCCUGCGUGCCAACCUUUUCCCCCUUCAGCACAAAGUUCAGAGGCGAGGAGCUAUACUUGAGGCGUUAUUUAGGAUUUCUGAGGGCUAUUUUUUCGGCCCUCAUCAUUUGAUUAUGACUUCUCUUCUUCAUUUUGAAGAGAAAGUCCAUCAGAAGAAGCUUCAAAGGGCAGAUGGCAUCCCAUUACUAUUUCCGAGGCUCCUCUGCCAGAUUUUAGAGCACCUGGGCUAUCCUGAACAGCCCCGUCUUGAGAGGCGCCGCCAUUGCCGAGAGGACUUCUCUCUCGACAAAUGGCAUCACUUGGUAGCCUACUUUGCACCCCAGGGAGCCCCAGCUGUGCCUGCACCUCCAGAGCUACCCCAAGAUGAGCAGAUGCCUCAGGCCCAACAGGAUGAGAUUCUCACAGAGACCACACCUCCUGCCCCUGCAGCACACCCCUCAGAGCAUAUUCCUGAGCCUAUACAUCCUAUUUCUCCUAUCACUUUGGGUGCUCCACCAGUCAUGCCAGCUACCCCAGCACCUCUUCCUUCAUCUAAGCCCACUGUCACCGUUUCUCUUACGGAAUUCAGAGGCUUAGAGCGUUCAUUGCGGACACUGAGCACUGCUCAGGAUUCUAUUAUCCACCAGAUGGCCACUAUUCGGGCCCACCAGGAUCAGAUCAUUGCUACUCAGGCCCAGCAUACCACGAUCCUUCAUCAGAUUCAGCAGCAUUUGAGUUUGCAGACACCUUUUGGGCAUGAUAGGUCUGCACCAUCCGAGCCUCUAGAGCCAGAUACAGAGAGCUUACCAGCUGAGCAGCCCAUACCAGAGGAGGAGAUCAGAGCAGAGCCAUCACAUGACACCCCUCAUAUUUGAUAUUUUUAUAUUUUACUUGUUUUUUAUUUUAGACUUGUAAAUCCCAUCUUUUGCAUGUGUUAUAAACUGGGAUUGGAAGUAUUACUUGAAAUCAUACAUUGUAUAUUUCUUUUACAAGUAAUAUAUAUAUAUAUAUAUAUAUAUAUAUAUAUAUAUAUAUAUAUAUAUAUAUCCUUUUUGAUUAUAUUCCCUUUUCUCAUUACUCUUUUGUCCUUGGAACAUGUGGCUUAAGGUACUCCAUACCUCCUUUACACCCAGACUUUGUCUCACUCAGGAGGUACCACUUCCUCCCUUUAUUUUUAAUCGCUCUUGAAACAUUGAGGACAAUGUUCAACGUGGUUGGGGGGAGAGUUGAGAAAGGAAGUUUUGUUAUUAAUACUAAGUUAUUUUGGUAUUUUAGUUGAUUUUUGCUUAAAAUUUAAAAUUUUUAAAAGUUUUUUGAAUCAUUCUCUAUGGUUGUUAAAGAUAAUUUCUCAAAAAUAAAAUAGGAUAAGUCGAGUUUUAACUUAAUUAUUUAAGUCUUAGAGUUUGUUUUAUGCUUUCAAAGUUGAUAAUCUAUUGAAGCCUCUUUGAUUUCGAACUUUCUUCUUCCAUNNNNNNNNNNNNNNNNNNNNNNNNNNNNNNNNNNNNNNNNNNNNNNNNNNNNNNNNNNNNNNNNNNNNNNNNNNNNNNNNNNNNNNNNNNNNNNNNNNNNAAGUAUUACUUGAAAUCAUACAUUGUAUAUUUUCUUUUACACGUAAUAUAUAUAUAUAUAUAUAUAUAUAUAUAUAUAUAUAUAUAUAUAUAUAUAUCCUUUUUGAUUAUAUUCCCUUUUCUCAUUACUCUUUUGUCCUUGGAACAUGUGGCUUAAGGUACUCCAUACCUCCUUUACACCCAGACUUUGUCUCACUCAGGAGGUACCACUUCCUCCCUUUAUUUUUAAUCGCUCUUGAAACAUUGAGGACAAUGUUCAACGUGGUUGGGGGGAGAGUUGAGAAAGGAAGUUUUGUUAUUAAUACUAAGUUAUUUUGGUAUUUUAGUUGAUUUUUGCUUAAAAUUUAAAAUUUUUAAAAGUUUUUUGAAUCAUUCUCUAUGGUUGUUAAAGAUAAUUUCUCAAAAAUAAAAUAGGAUAAGUCGAGUUUUAACUUAAUUAUUUAAGUCUUAGAGUUUGUUUUAUGCUUUCAAAGUUGAUAAUCUAUUGAAGCCUCUUUGAUUUCGAACUUUCUUCUUCCAUUUCAAGCUUUACACACACUGUGCACAUUAGAUCCCGGAUAUAUGAUGUAAAACUUUCUCACCUUCUAAGCUUAGGAAAAUUUUGACUUGGUUCAUUACUUAACCUCUCUUUAAUAGUGUUGAGACACCUCAUAAAGACCAAUGAGUUUUUGAAAAAAAAAAUGAAAAAAAAAAAAAAAAGAAUAAGCUUCUAUUCUUUCCUUGAAACCUAAGCAUGAUCCGAAGGGGUGGCGAAAGCCUUUAAAACCCGAUGCCCUAAACCUUGAUUGGUUGGGAGUCAUCGAUCCUCUGCUUGCUACAUAGGUGAAUUGGUUAAGAUUAGUGAGUAAAAAGAAUUGUGAAUAAGAAGGUGCGUUCCUAACCUAUUAAGAGUUGAUUAAUUUUGCCAAUGUUCGAGAAAAGCUUAGGUUGGAGGGUGAGGAUAGUUGUAUAUACUAUAUCCGGAAGCUAAUCUCAUUAACACUUAGCUUAUUAUGGAAGAGUUUGAUUUGGAACCUUGAGAGUAGAGAUUCUUUUGAUACUUAAUUGCAUAAUCUCCACUCUUUGUACUUUUUGUUUAAGUUUUAAGCUUUGAUAACUCCUAUUGCAUUUUGAAUCUUCAUAUCUUUAGUUAGCCAGGUGAGAUGAGUUUGGAUAUCAGUCAUGCCUCUCAAUUAUUUUUUUUGGAAAUGAUUUGCAUGACUUCUUUUAUGUAUAUUAUUACGUUUGCUUAGUUUUUCUCUCCUUAAUUGCUAAGGGACUAGCAAUAUGUCGGUUGGGGGGAGUGAUUACUACUCAAAACAUGCUAUUUUGUAGCUUGUAAUUAGUUCUUUUAAACACCCUUGAGUAGUAAUUAUUACCUUUUAACCCAAUUAACAUGUUAGGGACCCUUGCAAUCGUUUCUAACAAUUGUGUUAAGUUUUGGUGCUUUUUGAUAGCUUUAUGCUCACCAAAGCAAUUUAAGAAUGAGGGAGAGCUAUUUAUAGUUCAUGGCAAAGCUUUUGAAAGCUUAAAUUUAUGAAGAAAUCAAGCUAUGGAGCCUCAUAACCCUUUGCCUUAUUCGUUCAAAGUAUACAAGGAAGAAACAAUGGAGAAGAGGAAAACAGGGGAUGAAAACAGGGGACACAGCUGCAGUCUUUCAUCGCACUUUUGGAGCACUUCCCGAAGUCCAUUUUUUACAUUCUAUAUACCAUUUCAAAGCUCAGAAAGUCAAGAAUCCAACGGUUCAAACCAUGUACGAUUUGGAGCUGAAAUGAGAAAGAUAUGGCCUUAGGAAGACAACUGCAUCAAGCUGAGGGACAAUUUCGCACACCACUGUGCAAGGUGCGAAUUCCUCAGUCCACUGUGCGAGAAUUUCGCACACCUCAAAUCAAGGUGCGAAAUUGGAACUCCAGCGUGCGAAAAUUGGAUAUUUUUGCCGACUCUUUUUCUUUUGAUAUUUUUGUGUCUAAAUUUCCAUUUUCUCCUUGUAUUCAACCACUCAUGUAAUUCCUUAGCUAGGAAGUAUCCAAGGAAGGGUAAAAUUACCUUCCUAUAUAAAUUCUCUUGUAAUCACUGAAAAGUAUCUUCGGAGCUUUCUCCAGGAGACCAACUGAUGUAAAUUUGAUACUUAGUGAAAUACAGAGAUCUCUUUUGCUUUCUUUUUCUCUCUUCUAUUUUCUCUUUUCUUGCAAGCCAAACACCCUCUGAGGAUGUUUUCCCAGAGGAUGAGAGGCUAAGCAUUUAGUUUCUUGGAGUAAAGGAAGCUGGGUGAAAAGUCCAGAUUAAAAGAUGGAAAGUUUCCGUGCAUUAAAUUCAGGUAGUUGGAGUCCAUAAAUGGCUUUUAAAGCCAAGGUUUUGCCUUAAAUCCCUUAGAAUCACUUUGACUGGCCAAUACAUGGUAAGCUUAAGGUCUCUGUGGAUGCUUAUUGCUAGAUCCAUAUCAGUCCAUUAGUUAUCAUGUACGAGCCAUUGGAAAGUGAUUCAAGGUGAUAGCCCAUAGUGUCUUAAGCCAUUAAUGGACCUUGACUACCAUCUCUAGUGACUUUUUAUGGAUUAAAACUUCAUUGUCAAACCUAUACCGAUUCGGGAAAUAACUAUAGGUUAAAUCCCCAAUGCGAGGAGAAAAAUCCGGAAUUUUCCACUUUGCAUCUGGAACUUGAACCUAGCAACCUUUAGCUCCGGGAGACUUUCUUUCUUCCACUUUUUACUUAGUUCUAUGUGAGUUUAGUUUAAAUCACCACUUUCAAAACAAUUUUAUGUUCUUUUAAAUUUCAAGUUUGUGCUAAAGGAAAUCAUCAGAAUCAAUUUCUAAUUUAGAGUCUGUCACUGAUAGAGUGAAAACCCAUCCCUGAGUUCGACCCUAGAACUGCUAUACUAUAGUAGCUUUGCUACGCCAGUAUAAGGUCAUAGGUUUUAUAAAUGUUUUUUAUUAAAAGACCGGCUGGGCAUCGAAUCAGCGAUGUGUCGCUUUGGGGUGUGUUUCCAGGCAGCCUGUCUUUUGGGAUCCCUAGGGUUUUGGUCCCCUAUAAAUAGGGAGCCCCUACACCCUUUGGAUUAUUUUUUUUUAAUAUUCCCGUUUUGGAGCUUUCUUUUCUGUCUCUACGUCUUCGUUGCUUGCAACGCCGAUCUUCGCUCGUUCUUCGUCGUUUUUGCUACCACUCUCAAGCUUGCUCCAGACGGAUUCUUCUUUGCUAACGGACGUUCUUCUUUGACCUUGGUAAGCUUCCCUUUUUUAUCAUUUCUCUUCUUCUGUUUGUUGUUCACUUUUGGGGUUGUAAUGGCGUUUGUUGAGUUUUAGAUGCAAAAUGGAUGUCACGACAUUUAGAUUCUAGGGUUUUUUUGUGUUUUUUUGGAGAAGAUGACUUGUAGUGUCUAUUAGACCUAGGGCUUCUCAUAUUUCCCCUUUUUGUUUCUUUAUUGUUGGUGGCCUAAGUAGUCCAUUUAGGCAUUUCGUCCUGUAACCGUUGUGGUGGCACGAUGGGGAAGACCUCUCUUGAGGCUAAGGCUUGCUCUGUAAGUUUUGUUAGACAGUCUACUCAAGUUUGGGCUUUAGAUCCGCUUAGGUUUCUUGUUGUACAACUAAGACACUACCUAACGGCAGAUGAGUCAGGUGAAUGUCUUUUAACAAUCUAUGUUGUCCCACGCAACCUAGAGCUUCUUAGUAUGUCAACCAGAUGAGGUAUCGCUUCCAUCAGCACAGGCGAUAGGGCCUAGAAAGGUGGCCGAAAGGGCGCUGGAGUCGGGUGCCCUAGGUCGGAGCGCCCAAUCGAUCUUCUAUUAGAACAGGAGUUCUGGGCUUGCUUCCAUAUUCUAGAUAGUGUUUCCAUCCUUUUGGUAGACAACAAGCCUCUGAGUUUUGAAAAGCAAUCCCACAACGCUACCUAUUUUAGCAAGGAGCAAUUUAAUGCGAGGCUUCAUUUUCCUCUGCCCUCUCUUUUCAAACAAUUCAUCUAUUUCACCAAGAUCCCUCCAGCCUUCCUUUAUCUCAAUGUCAUUUGGGUCUUGAUGGGAUGUAGCAUCCUAGACAUGCUUUACCAACUGGACCUCUCUCUGUUGGAGGUCCUAUUCGUUUAUAUAGUAAAGAUGAGCCAGAAAAAGAGGUUUAGCCUAGCCGCUCAUAUCCUCUCCCUCCAGCUAGUGACUGGGCUUCAAGGGUGGGGCGAAGGGACACGUCCUUGUUUCUGGCCCCUAGAGUGGUCCAUAUGAGGGGUCGGACAGAGAAUUCCACUCACGACGCUCGCUAGAGAUCCCAAGUAGGAUAUGUUCCUGUAACCUUUGUUUGUCCCUUGUAGUUGUUGGUUGUGAACCUGUUACUAAUAUUAUUGUUUGUGUGGUGCAGGUAAGAACAAGAGGGGUCGACUUGUGGAAUGGGUGGAGAAGGCUUCUUUUGCUAGGCUCAACAAAUUGUUUGAAAUAUCUACAUCCGAGCACAACUACCAGAUUUUUUUUAUGGACAAGAACUUGCAAGCGGUGCUGAAGGAAGCCAAGUCAUUCAUCCUCCCAAUACUCCACCGGUUGGCUCCCCGGUCCCUGGUGCCCGACAACCAUCACGUGUUGAAGGACCUACCUUUUAAUGAGGUCGCUUGCGCAACAAAUUCACAAGCACACCAAGACCGUUUAAAGCAAAAAGAGAAAAAAAAAAUCAGAAGGGGACGCUCAGGUAAGCUCCACCUACCAACUCUUCAGCCUCUAACUCCAACGUCCAUCCUCCUACCAAGAAGAAGAAGGGACAUGUCAUUCAGCCUGUUCAGAUGGCAAGGACGCUGCCAUCCGCUUUCCCAUCUUCUCCUUCCACUUUGUUUUCCUCUUCGUCUUCAUCUUCUUAGCCUACCAGCAUCGAGUCGGACAUAAGAGUUGAUCUGUCAACCGCCAACACCAAGCUGGAAAUAGGGGUUGAGUUGGUGGUGCUCCUCAUUGCUUGUGAAGAGGAAGAAGAGAAGGACAUGGUUGCAAACCUGAGGAUCGAAUUCAAGGAGAGGCAGCAUAAAUGCCUGUCCGAAUCCAUUACGGUCGUCUCUCCUCCCUCUAAGAGGCCCUACUCGGAGCCUCUCUACCUAGAGCCUGUGUUGGCCAUUGCAUCGGCACUAGCACCCUCGACGGCUAUUGCAGGCAGCAAUCUUGAGUUGGAGAGAGGCUUCUCUUAGUUGGAGCUGCUCACCAAGAGCCUGGGAGGCCCUUAUCCAACUCAGAACACAUCAAUGAUGACUCCAUUGAGUGCGUGGCUUCCGUCCCUUCUCAUUCCUAGUCGUCUUGCGCCCCAAAUCGGGAGGAGAUAGCUGAGCUGAUGAGGCAGAUUCCCUCCUUUACCGAGAGGGCGGUUCCCGUGCAUAACAUGGGAGUGCUAUUCUCGGCUACUCGGUGGACUUAGAGAGUGACCUCAACCUUUCCUCUACAACCUGACUUCCAUUCAGCACUCCGAACACUGUCGUUUCUCGCAUCCUGCCCAUGCAAGAUUACAUUACUUUCGAGAUAGCUGAAGUGGUAAGUCGUUUUCCUCUUACAUUCAUGUUGCCUUAGUCAUUUGAUUCCUUAAUAACUUUCCUGUUGCCUUCUCAAGUGGUGGUUAGCGUCCUGAAUCUGAUGCGACAGCGUGCUCAGCUCUUCAAACGGUUGGAGGCUACCGAGACUAUGAGGACAUAUAUUACCCACAACAUGGACGACAGUGAAGAACUUUGUGCUAAGCUAGAAUUGGUAGAGGACAAGCUUAUUGCUGCUUGAAAAAUUACCGAUGAAUGGGCCAAGUUACGGAGAAAGGUAGAAGAAAAGAAAGAGGCAGUCAAAGCUGAGGCUUGCUUGCUAGCGGAGGAGAGAGAGGUGAUGGAAGCUGGCAAGAAGAAAGACUAAGAGAAGGUCGAACGACUGAGAUAGGAGCUGUAAGAGUUCCAAGCGAGGUUCGUCGUUCAGAAAAAAGAGAUAAAGAUGGAGUACCAAAGCAGGUAGAUGACAUGUUCUUCUAUGGCUAUCGAUGUUGUAUGAAGAAACAUGGCAUCACCCAAGACAUUCCCAGCUAUCCUUCGGAUGAUGAGGACGAAGUUGCAGGCAACCCUACCCGAGGUGAAGGAAAUGCUUCUACAGCCAAUCCCUCUUGCGAGCGUGCUUGACUCUGUCUCUUUCUAUGUACUUUUCUUUUUCCUUUUUUCUGGCCGGAGAUGGUCCGAACGAAAAUUGAAAAGACAAUGAACAUUCAUAUUUUCAAUAUAUAUACAUAUACACUUUUGUCUUUUUUUUGUUCUUCUCAUACUUUACUUUCAUAAGCAAGUUUUAUUGAUAGUACUGCUUUAGGUUGGAUACAUUCCAAGGGCAAAGUAGGGAUACGCCGUCCAAUGUUUGGAGAUGGUAUGCCCUUGAGUCCCCAGCCUUAGCCACAACAUAGGGCCCUUCCCAAUUAGUCUGAAACUUCCUGGCCUCUACUUCAGCCGUGUUCUCGAAGAAUUUUCUGAAGACUAGGGUUCCGGUCCGAGCCAGGCCAUUUUGUUGUAAUGAGCAAUAGUUCUCUGGUGAUAGGAGGUCAACUGGAUAGUUGUGUUUCCUCGUACCUCAUCUACCCAAUCCAACUGCCUUUCGAGUUCUUCAUUGUCAUCUCUUUGACCUUGCAUGGUCGUUUUGGUGAUGGACAUGCCUAUAUCAAUCGGAAUAACAACUUCCAUUCUAUAGGCAAGGUUGAAGAGGGUAGCUCUUAUUAGUUGUCUAAAUGUUGUCCGAUACGUCCACAGAGCUUCGAGCAGUUCAUCUACCCAUUUUCCUUUGACUCAUUCUAGUCUUUUCUUUAAUGCAGUUAAUAAGGUCUUGUUUGUUGCCUCUGCUUGCCCAUUGCUCUGAGGAUAAUAGGGUGUUGAAUAUAGGUUCUUAAUGUUUAACUCUGUACAUAAUGUUCUAAAAGCGAUAUUGUCAAAUUGUGGCUCAUUGUUUGUUACAAUCGCUUGUGAACUCCAAACCGGCAUACGAUGUUUUUCCAGAAAAACUUGGAGACACCAUUGUCCUUGCUGAAAUAUUCAGUUGCUACAAGCAUAAACUUCUUUUGUGUUGCUGCAAUGGGUAAGGGGCCGACUGUAUCCAUCCCCCAUUGUGUGAACAACCAAGGGUUUAUGACCGGAUUGAGAACUUCAGAAGGCACACGGGGGAUGGGAGGGUACCUCUAACACCGAUCACAUUUCUUAACAUAAUUUUUAGCAUCUUACUUCAUUGUUGGCCAAUAGUACCCUUGCGUGUGCAUGCGAUGUGCUAGGGUUCGUCCUUGCCUCAUACGCCUUUGUGUAGUUCGGCUAGGACAUACUUAGCUUUCGGAUCGCUUAAGCAUCUUAGGUAUGGUCCUCCAAACGAUCGUCUAUAAAGACGUUCAUUGAUUAGAGUGAAACGGGCGGAUUGUAUGCAGACUUUGUGUGCAUGUUUCUCAUUCUCUGGUAGUUCUCCCGCCUUGAGGUAUUUCACAAUGUCGUGCAUCCAGCCGGGGUCCGUCUCAGUAGUACUAAAUAUUUGCUCUAGUGUGAUCGAGGAUAUGGCUUGGAGGUAGACAAGCAGCAUGACCGCUUCCUUAUAGAGAGAGUGACAGUAAUUCUGGCUAAUGCGUCAUGGUUCAAAUUCUCUAUCUAGGGUACCCAUAUAACCGUCCAUUCGUCUAGCUUUUUCAAGCGAUCUUCUACUAUGGUGAGAUAAGGAGCCAUUCGUUCAUCCUUUGCUUCAUAUUCUUUCUGAAUUUACCCAACGAUUAGUUGGGAGUCGCUACAUAUUUCCAACUUGGUUGCAACCAAAGUAAGGACAAGGCCAAGUCUAGCCAAGAUAGCCUAGUACUCUGCUUCAUUUUGAGUAGUAAUCACUCCCCCCAACCGACAUAUUGCUAGUCCCUUAGCAAUAAAGGAGAGAAAAAUAAAAAUAAACAAUACUAUAAUUUACAACAUCAUGCUGAUCAAAAAACAAUUCUCAAGUGGCAUGAUGAUCUAACUCUCACAUGGAACAUUAAAGAAAUAAAACUCAAACUUCAACAAGAGUUAUCAAAUAACUUGUCUAAUCACAAUUCUUAAAGAGAAGGCAUUAUGCAAAUUUAAGCUUUAAAAUCAUUUCCACUUCCAAAGGAUCAAACCUUACUCUUCCACAAAAAUCUAAGUGUUAUUUAUUAGUUUCCGAAUAUAGUAUGUUAAACUAAUCUCUCCCCCCAACCUAGUUCUUUUCAAAGCUUAGCAAACUAAUCAACCUCCAAUAGGCUAAGAACGCACCUUUUUUCUUUCACAAUUUUUUUCUUGUAGGAGUACAAGGCUUAAAGGUAUUUUUUUUAUAAAUUGUCCAUGUAACGGGGGUCCAUCGAUGACUCCCAACCAAUUAAGGUUUAGGGCAUCAAGUUUUAAGGAUUUUUCAACCACUAACUCCUCGGAUUUCACCCCGGACUUUUGAGAAUGAAUUUUAAUACCCAAGCACCUACAGUAUGUUAAACUCCACCUAUUCACCCUUGUAACGAGCAUUGAGGUCGGUGACUCCCAACCAAUGAAGGCUUAGGGCACCAGGUUUUAAAGAUUUUCACCAUAUACCCCUCAGACCUUGCUCGGGUUUCAAGGCAAGCAAACAUUUUUUUUUUCUUUCUUUUUUCUCUUCAAAGACUCAUUGGCCUUUUAUAAGGUGUCCCAACACUAUUAAAUGAGGUCAAAGGUACCAAGUCUAAAAUUUUCCCUAAGUCAAGAGGGAAAUAGUUUUUCAUCUUAUACUCGGAACCUACUGUGCACAGUGUGUGGAUAGCUUAAAGUGGAAGAACUAAGGUUGACUUCAAUAGAAGUUUCAACAAUUCAUCAACUUUAAUAAGCAUAAUACAAAAUCUAAGUCAAGUAAAAAGACAAAAAUUCAAUUUCUCCAAUUUUAGUUUGAAAAUUUUUCCUUAAUAACCAUGGAGAGUAGAAUAAAAACUUUUAAAAAAUUUUAAAAUUAAGCAAAAAACAACUAAAUUACCAAAAUAACUUAGCAUUAUUAACAAUACUUACUUCCUCAACUCUCCCCCCAACCAAGCUGAACAUUGUCCUCAAUGUGACAAAAGCGAUUGAAAAAUAGGGAGGAAGUGGUACCUCUUGUAUGACAUGGAGUUUGAGUCGUAUAGGAGAAACCACAUGUUUCAAAGAAAACAUAAGAGUUAGUGAGUAGAGGAAAUAGAAAAAUGCUAAGUUUAAACAAAAAAUGAUGUCUAUGUAUGAUGUAUCAUCAGUAAUACAUCCAAUCCCAAAAUAUAAGACAUCAAAACAUGGAGCUAUCUAUACUAAUAUAAUAUGUAAAGGCAAAAAGUAAAGAGAUGAUCAAGUAAUGGUAAGGUCCUGUGGAGCUGAUGCGUCUGUGGUAGUUUCUUGAAUGGGUUGGAUCAGGACUUUGGCCUCUGUUCUGGUAGUCUCCUUAGGUGGCAUAGUCUCCUCAACUGGAGCUUUCAGUUGGUAGCUAUGGGAUUUGAUGGUUUUAGGAGGUCAAAAAUGGAGUGAGAGGCUUGGUGUGUGUGAUCCCAGGGUGUGCGGGGCUCUCCUCUUCAUAUGCAUGGUUGCAGGGCUCUGAUGGCAUUUUAACAACUUCCCUUGGCUUUGCAAGGUGUUUUUGUAAAUCACCCUCCAUUUCACAAGUCAAUUUCGCAAUUUGAUGGCCAUUUCUAAGCUUGGAGGUGAUUUCGCAACCAUAUCAAAGCUUGGAGAUCAUUUCGCAGAAAAGUGGCAUGUUCACAGACCAUUUUUGAAGCUUGGAGCAUUUUCGCAGCCAUUCUGAAGCUUGGAGAUCAUUUCGCAUCCAUUUCAAAGCUCAAAAGUGAUUUCGCAGCUCAAAAUUGAUUUCGCAGCUCAUUUCGCAGCUCAAAAGUGAUUUCGCAACUGUAUCGCAGCUUCGAAAUGAAGGGAACUAUGCUGCAAAUGGCACUCGUGUGCCAAAAGUAGUUUCGCAGCUGCGAAACACCCUUCCAAAUGGCGUCUCGGCUGCGAAAUUCUCGUUCAGCUUUGCGCGCUUGUCUUCAAACGACCAUAACUUCUUCAUUUCACCUCCAAAUUGCAUACCGUUUGAAGCACUGGACUCCUGACUUCCCAAGCUUUAAAACGAGAUAUCGUAUGCAUAAUUUGAGCUCCAGGAAGUGCUUCAAAAAUGUGUCCAACAGUAGCGAAAUGGAGGUGCGACAUUUCCGUUCAUGGUUUGCACAGUCAUCUUCAAACAGCCAUAACUUUUCUGUUUCAAAUCCAAAUCAAGUACCGUUUGAAGCUGUGGACUCAUGACUUCCCAAGAUUUCAAAUGAGAUAUUAUAUGCAUAAUUUGAACUUCAGGAAGUGAUCGAAAUGUGUCCAACAAUUGCCGAAAUGGGGGUGCGGCUGUGAAAUUGGGAUUUUUCACUUUUUGGAACUUCGCAGCCGUUUCGCAGCUGCGAAAUGGGAGUCACUGUGCUGCGAAAUGGCACUCGUGUGCCAAAACCGGCUUCGCAAUUGCGAAAUACCCUGCGGAAUGGGACUUUUGGUGCGAAAUCAGGCUUUACCACUUCGCAAUGCGUUUCGCAGCUACGAAACAAAUGCUCCUGUGCUGCGAAGUGGCACUCGUGUGCCAAAAAUGGUUUCGCAGCUGCCAAAUCCUCUGCGGAAUGGAGCUUUCCCUGCGAAAUGGAGGUUUUCAUGCUUUGGUGGUUCGCAGUCGCUUUCGCAGCUGCGAAAUGGGGGCUCCUGUGCUGCGAAGUGGCACUCGUGUGCCAAAAGUGGUUUCGCAGCUGCGAAAAUUUUCGCAGAGAGGGCAAUUGGGCUGCGAACUGGUUUCGCAGCAAAAUUUCGAUUUCGCAGAGGCUACGAAAUCUCGCAGACCCCUGUUUUUCUCCUGUUUCUCCCCUGUUUUCGCUCCGUUUGACUCCGAUUUUGCUCCGAUUUUUUUUCUUCAAUUUCUUUGCAAUUUCUCUUGAUUUUGAUCAUCCAAAAACCUAUAUUACAUCAAAACAAACUAGAAUUAAAGCAUUGAAAUCAAAAUUAAAGCAUUGAAAUCAAAAUUAAAACAUUGAAAUCAAAAUUAAAACAAGUAAAAAAAAACAAAACAAAAAGAUAUGGACUAGCUAGUCUUUAAAAAGACUAAGUCCAUCAAAAAAUUUGCUCCUGAUUUAGCUUGCCCGGAUCCCAUAUGAAGUUUGCAUCCCUCACUUGGGGCUUUCUCUGUAUGAUUUUGCCAUACAAAGCUUCGAGAAAAGGUGGAAACAUGUGUUUCUUCAUCAAUUCUUCCUUGAUGACUAUCCUCUGUGGUUCUUCAUGUACAUUAACAGUAUAGCCAUCUUUCUCUAUGCUUUUCCCCUUUUUCUUUCCUUUGAUUUCCUCCCUCUUUUCUUUCUCUGUUUGACUCUCUACCUUAUGCUCUAGCUUGCAUGUGGGCAGAUCAACCUCUUUACCACUCCUCAGAGUGAUAACCUCUUCAACUUCCUUCACCAUUGAAGAUUCUCCCUCUGGAGCCUCCACUUCAUGGAUGCCCUUGGAAUUUUGAUAAGGUUGAGAAGGAUAGUUUUCUUUCUCUUGCACUGUGUUGAGGUUGGCAAGCCUUGAGAUUGAAUCUUGGAGAAUAUCUAACUUUUGGGCCAUAUCAUUUUGCAUUUCAUCCAUCCUUUUAUUCAAAGUACUCUCCAUUCUGUCAAUUCUUUGAUUGAGUUGAGCAUUGAUGGCUUCUUGCUUUCCAACAAAAUCUCCCACGACCUUGCAAAGAUUCAGCAUAGCUUGUUCAAGGUUUGAGGCUUGCUGUGGUGCUUGAGCAGGUUGCUGAUACUGAGGUGGCUGUGGUUUCCAAGAGAAAUUUGGAUGGUCCCUCCAAUUGGAAUUGUAGGUGUUGCAAUCACCAAACAUUUCCCUCUCCGUUGGAAUGAUAGGACACUCUUCAACCAAGUGCUCAUAAGAUAGACAAAUGGCACAAGGCAUAGCUUGCAAUGGUGUCUGAGAGAUGGCUUGCACUGGCUGCAUAUUUGUCAUUUCUAGCUUUUCCAAUCUCCUUUCCAUAGCUGCAAUCUCUGCCUUCAUGUUCAUACCAUCAUUCAAAAUAUACAUCUCACCCUUAGCUUUAGGUUGAGACGUCAUUCUUCCCAUAUCUCGAGCAUUUGGUUCAUCCCAUCCUCUUGAAACUUCAGCCACAUAACUCAUGAAGUUCAUGACUUCCUCUGCUAUCUCGUAAUCAAUAUAGCAUGCACAACUAGCAAUUUGUGAAUUAAAAACAGAGAACACAAAAGAAAACAAAAGAAAAACACUUCAAAGAAAGAAAAUUAAGGUAAACUAAAAACUAAAUAAAAGGUAUACUAAAAUAUGAACAAUAAAGAAAUAAAAAGAGUUAGUUAAAGGAAAAGAAAAGUCACCAAACUUGUGAUGAAGAUCACAAGUACUCUGAAAAGGUGAUAUCACUGUAAAGUGGCACCAUCCCCGGCAACGGCGCCAUUUGAUUCGUCCCUAGCAGCGGCAGUGGCAAUGGCACCAUUUGAUUCGGGGUUCGAUCCCCGGCAACGGCGCCAUUUGAUUCGUGCCCACUUGGUGUUUCAGCUGAUUCGUGUCCAGCUGGUGCUCCUUGAUUGAGGGAGUGAUCAACAAAAUUUAUAACCUAUAACACCAUAUACUAGGGUAGCAAAGAAAAAGCUACUAUAGUAUAGUGGCUCUAGGAUCGUUCACUGGGAUGGGUUUUCACUUCACAAAUGAUAUUAAUUCAAAGCUGAAUUGGUGCCUUUUCAUUUCAAGGUUAGGUUUAAAAGAAAACAUAAUCUUUGGUUGAAAAGGUUGGUUUUAAGCUAACCAAAAAUAGUAACUGAUUUUAACUACAAAGAAAAGAUGUUUCUUGGAGUUCAGAUCACUAGGCUCAAGUUCCUCAUACAAAAAUGAGAGUUCCGGUCACUUGUUUCUUUUCCUCGCAUUAGAGAAUUAACAUAUAGUUCCUUCUCCAACCGGUGUUGUACAGAUGCUUCCCAUUAAUGGGUUCAAACAUUAAAUCCCUCUCACUGAUGCACUUUGCAAUGGCUCAUACCUCUCACCUAGCACUUGCCAUUCAAGGUGAUCUUUAACCUUGGAUUACCCGUCAAAAGCUCGCAAGAGAUAACUAAUGGAUGUCUCCUUGGAGUCCAAAAGCUUACCAAGUGUUGGCUAUUCUAGAAAAUCCUACCUUCAAGUCACCUCCCAAAGGCUCGCAAGGGGUAAACUAGUGCAUUUCCAUGGUUGGAAAUCACUUGCCUUACCAAGUGUUGGCCCAGGUGACUCUAAGGUGUUUUAAGUUAACUAAAAACAUAGAAAUCACUAACGGGUUACACUUUCUCUUCAUUAAAAACUAAAACAACAAAACUUCCAAAUUAUGCAUGUGGAAACUUACCCGGCUUUCCUCACUCCAAGAGACAAAAAACUUAGCCUCUCAUCCUCUGAGGAAAAAUCCUCAGAGUUUGGUUGGCUAGAAAUAAAAAGAAAUGAAAAAUGAAAGAGAAGGAAAAACAGAGCAAGGCUCUGUAUAUUCUAUAUAUUGAUCGAUGGAUUACAUAUAUGAUUGAUGAUAUGAUUACAUUGGAUGCAAGGGAAUAUAUAUAGAGGAGUUUUUCCAACCUUCCUAGCUAAGAAAUCUUAUGGUUGGUGGCUUACAAGGAGAAGAAUGGAAAUUUAUACAAAAAUAUCUGAAGAAAAAUAUCCAAAAGAGUCGGUGCAAAAAUAUCGGGAAGCACUAAGGACAUUUCGCAGGUGAAAAUGGUGUCUGCGAGAUUUCGCAGACACUCAAGAGGGCUGCGAAAUAUUUUCGCAACAACAAGUUAAACUCGCAGGGCUGCGAAAUUGGCUUCCACCUUGAGGUUCUCAGAGUUCCAGCUUGCGGCAUGUAUCGGGUAGCUUCAGGAGGAAUUCCAUAGCACUGUACAAAAAGGCUGCGAAAUUCUCGCAACAAAAGGCUGAUUUCGCAACACUUUGGAGUGAUCUGCUUGCAAUGGCUGUAACUCCUUCGUUUCAACUCCAAAUCGCGUACCGUUUGAAGCAUUGGAUUCUUGACUUCCUGAGCUUUGAAAUGGUAUAUAGAAUGUAGAAAAUGGACUUCGGGAAGUGCUCCAAAAGUGCAAAAGAAGACUGCAGCUAGCUUUCCUCUGUUUUCUUCACUCUGUUUUUCCUCUCUCCUUGCAUACUUUGAACGACUUUGGCAAAGGGCUAUGGAGCUCCAAAGCUUGGUUCUUCAUGAAUUUGAGCUCUUCAUUGCUUUGCCAUGAACUAUAUACAAUUCUCCCUCAUUCUUGGAUUGUUUUGGUGAUCAAAAAGCUAUCAAAACACCAAAACUUAACACAAUUUGAUUAGAAUUGAUUGCAAGGGUCCUUAACAAGUUAAUUGGGUUAAAAGGCAAUAACUACUACUCAAAAGUGUUUAAAAGAGUUAAUUACAAGCUAUCAAAAUAGCACUUUUUGAGUAGUAAUCAGUACUCUGCUUCAUUGUUAGAGGCAAAAAAGCUGAGCUAGAUAGCUUGCUCUAACAAUUCUCCAGUUGGUGAUUGUAGGAUCAAACCUACUUUGGAACUGGAAACUCUAAACAUUCCGUCCACAUAAAGUGUCUACCAUCCCUCCCCAAGGAACUCAUCUAGAUGUGAUGGUUUGUGGGGGAGUUCAACCAUAAAGUUAGCCAUGACUUGUCAUUUCAAUGCUAAUAUUGGUUGGUAUUUGAUUUUGUACUCACUCAACUCAAUGGCCCAUUUCAACAUUCGUCCGGAUAGAUCUGGCUUGUAUAAGGUGCUUCAGAACAGUUGAUUUGUGAGUACAGUCACUUAGUAAGCCUAAAAGUAAGGACGGAGUUUCUGGGCUGUGUUUUUCAGGGCUAAGGUCGUCUGCUCCAUUCUGGAGUACCGAGUUUCUGCGUCUACCAUUGCUUUGCUCAUAUAGUAGACGGGUCUUUGCUCUUUGUCUCCUAUGUGUUGAAAUAGAACAAGACUGACCGCACAAUCAAACACGGUUAGAUACAUGUAGAUUUGUUCGCUAGACUGGGGGCUGCUUAGAAUGGGUGGCUUAGUGAGGUAGCGUUUGACUUCCUCAAAUGCUUGCUUGCAUUCAUCCGUCUAGCAAGUCAUGUUUGUCUUCCUAAUCGUGAGGAAGAAAAGCCUUAGCUUGUCUGUGAAACAGGUUAUAAAACGCCUCAACGCGGCCAGAUGACCCGUGAGGUGCUGUAAUUUUUAUUUUUUUUGCUACUCAGGGCAAGUGUUUCAAGGACGGCUCUUAUCUGAUUCGGAUUAACUUCGAUUCCACUUUGGGUCACCAUAAAUCCUAGAAACUUUCCCGCCCUAACACCAAAAGCACACUUAUCUGUAUUAAGUUUCAUGUUGUACGUUCUCAUUAGGCAGAAUCUUUUUCCUAGGUGUUGAGUGUGUUCGUCUCGGGUUAUGUUUUUCACGAAAAUGUCGUUGAUGCAAACUUCCACAGUUCGGCCGAUCAAAGGCUUGAAGAUUUUUAUCAUUAAUCUCUGAUAAGUAGCGCUAGCAUGCUUGAGCUUGAACGAAAUGACUUUAUAGCAGUACAACCCGUGUGGUGUCACGAAGGCUGUCUUUUCUUCAUUCGAUUAGAACAUGGGGAUCUGGUGGUAUCCAGAGAAAAUGUUUAUAAAGGAAAGGAUUCCAUGCCCGACGGUGGCAUCAACUAUUUGAUCUAUUUGGGGUAAGGGAAAAUUAUCCUUCGGACAAGCAUCAUUCGGGUUGGUGUAAUCGACACAAACUCGCCAUUUCCCACCAUUCUUUGGAACAACCACCACAUUUUCCAACCUGUUUGGAUACUCGACUUCCCUGAUAAAUUCGGCUGCGAGCAGCUUGUCAAUCUUCGCCUAGAUGAUCCUCUGCCUAUCCGGAUGGAAGUGUCGAACAUUCUGAUGAACGGGAUGCGAGGAAGGUAUGAUGUUGAGCCGGUGAGAGGCCACUGAUGGAUGGAUUCUUAGCAUGUUAGAAUAAGUCCAAGCGAAGACAUCUUUGUUCUACUGAAGCACGCUUUUGAGCAGCUUCAAUUCACUCGGCGUAAGAAGUGAGCUAGUAUAGGUAACUUGAUUUGUGUCAAGCGAAAGACACAAUGGUUGGAGUGGAUCAACCGCAUGUGGAUCCUUCUCUGUCGGGUUCAGUUAUUGUUAUUGCUUCUUUGCAUUUGAUGGUUCCGGGCGUGUCUCAUCGCUGGCUGGGUGUCUGGAAUCUAGCACCACUUGAUAGCAUUGGCGUGCGGCUAACUGACUGCCAAGAAGGUCGAUUUGUCCGCCCUCGAUGAGGCAACUCACCAUUUGAUGGUAUGAAGAGGGAAUGACUUUCAUACCAUGAAUCCAUGCGCGUCCCAUGAUGACGUUGAAAAUGGAUAAAUCCUCUACCACCGAGAAUUGCACGUUUAGGGUGACCGGGCCAACUUGGACGGGUAACACAACGUCGCUUAGAGAAGUUGUUGUGGCUCUGUUGUACCCAGAUAGUAGCCAUCUUGGGUUUUUUAAGGUAGACGAUGGGAGGCCCAUUUGCCUGUAGGUUGACAUUUGUAAGAGCUCAGCUGAGCUACCCGGAUCAAUUAGAACCCUUCUCACAUCAAACCCGCUUAUUCCCAGGGUUAGGACUAGGGUGUCUUCGUGUGGUUACAAUACUUAGUUAGCAUUUAUCAAAGGGAAGGUAAUUGUGUUGUCGAUAAGGCACAUACUUCCUUCUGGCAAGUUGUGCUAAAUGGAGCUGAUUCGUUCUCUUACGAAGGCCACGCGAAGCAACCUUUGCCUUUUCCAUUUGGAGUUGUAUUUAUCUUCAGCAGGGCCUUCGUGAAUGUAGUUGAUGACAACUCUGGGAGUUGCUGUAGUUGUGAGGGCUUGGACGACUAGAUCUCGAGUCGUCUCUCUUUGCCCGCCAGUUGUGUGAACGUAUUGUUUCAGGUGCCUUGCCCUGAUUAGUCUUUCCACUAAGUAGUGGAGACUUCUGCAUUGUUCAGUGGUAUGGUCAUGAUCUUUAUGAUAGGUGCACCUUCGGCUCCGAUCCUGUUUAGUCGGAUCCAUCUUGAUCGGCUCUGGCCACCUGAAAUCAGACAAAUCGCGGAUCAUUAAGAGGAGUUUUUCGUAUAAGAUACUGAGGGGGGUUAAACUAGCUUGAUUCGACUGCUGCUGGCUGUCCCACCCCUUAUUAGCUUGCCUCAAUUGGUUUGAGGGCUUAAAGUUUCUUGCAUGGUCGUUCUUGGUCAGAUGAUUGGUGACCAAGACCUGCUGAGUAGUCGACACGGAUGUAGUCUCCGAGCAAAAAGUGCUUAUUUGCUCGUUUGAACAAAUUGUCCAUCGUUGCUAACGACUUCUUCGCAAGAGACUCAAAGAACGAUGUACCCAGAUGAUGAUUUUCUUGAAGAUUUACAGGAUGGGGUCCAUGUUGUAAGACUCCACUUGGAGCACAACUUGUUCGAACCAUUUCAUGAAGUCUUUAAGGGAUUCGUUUUCCUACAUCUUGAUGUUCUAUAGGGUGCUUAUGUUCUACUUGUGGCGAGCUGAACAUAGGUAGUGUCCCACAAAGGCUUCCAGUAGAUCCCAAAAAUUGUUCACGGAAUUCUUCGAGAGGCAGUGGAACCACGAGAGUGUCUAGCCAUGUAGGCUGGUUGGAAAGACUUUGCAUAGUAGUGCAUCAUUCCCUAUGUCAAGGGUCAUAAGUUUCCAAUAGUGCAUGAUAUGAUUGAAUGGAUUGCUUGUUCCGUCGUAUGUCGUGAAUUUUGGUACUAUUAACCCCCUUGAGGGCUCAUAGUUAAUAAUGUGAGAGCCAAACAACGUGGAUAGCAUGUCAUCCAAUAGUCGGCUGACAGAGCCGGGUGGAGCCCAAUCUACUGGGGUCCCAACUUGCCAUUGUUUUGGGGGAUGGGAAGGCCACUCCAAGAUGUUUGUUGUGACUGAGGGACCCAGACUGGUCUCCAGGGUUUCUGCUACUCAUGGUUUUCCCCUUAUGCCCAGUGUCUGAGGUUCUAGUCGGGCUCACAUCGCAUCGGAUAGGCAUGACCUAUCGCACCUCCUUUUUGUUGACACCUAUGUAAAGUCUGAGCAUUCGUCCAACUUCACCUGGCAGUUGGUGAAAGUUUCUCCUUAGACCACAUCAUGUGACUGCAAGUGGGGAACUCUGCGUUCCCAGGGAAAGAUGCCUCGUAAGUACGUCUUAAGGUUGUUCGCUGGCUUCGGGGUUGCCGGCUUUGAGAGGGGCUCGCCGAUAACAUUUGGGCACGCAACUCUUCAUUUUCUUCAUUGAGUCCCUUUGUUUAGUAGAUCAAAGACUGCAUCUACUGGUCAUUUUCGCGUUGGCGUCUCUCCAUGCUUUCACGCCAGCUAAAGUAGCUCUCGCUACCCAUAGCUGAUGAUCGGCUUCUACAGGGUGUUGACAUCCUUAGUCGUUCCCACAUACGACACCAAUGUUGAUUAUGAGCCAAUUGGAAUCAGGUUCGUCCAGCUGUAUGAUAGUCAAACAACCUUCCUCCUUUCUUUGUGCCACUCAGAGAGUCUGCAUAGUAAUAAUAAAAUUGGAUGGACUCCUUUCCUAUACAAAAAAUGAUGUCCAAACAGGUGGUCUAGGCAUGCCCCUCCGAAGCCUAAGUCAAGUAAGAAUAGCUCAUGUUGCUUAGUGAGAGAGAGUGAAUAGACGUAUGUGAGCAUACCUUGUUUGUGCUUUUUGGAGGGUUUAUAUAGUGCUGAUAAGAAUGCCACUGUAGUGCUGACUAGGCACUAUGACUUUCUUCUGUAAUGAUGAUUGUCUUGCAGGCAGUUGGGCAAUCAUCACACCUUUGGGUGGCUAGCAUGUGCCAUUAAUUGACGUGUCAGGAUCUUAGACCAUGCAACCGCCUGUCCUCUCAACCUGUUGAUGGUCUGGGGUUAUAUGCAGCAAUUAAUUGACAUAGACUUGAGGGCUAUAAGAGGUCCCAUCGGCCGUUCACAUGUCAUGUGUGAAUGAUUACGCAUGCCAGCAGGUCUUGAAGAUUUGACUAGACAGUCCUACCUGUUAGGGGGGUCCGACCUCCCCUUGCCGUUUGACCCUAUAAAUGAAAAGGGUCUUCUCAUGCUUGGUGCCAAACGGAAUUGGGUGUGAUCUAGACAGGAUGAUCUAGACGGCUUGUAUACCUGUGCUAGACGGUUAAGGAGUUCAGGUCAAAAAAGAGACACGUGGAGGGAGGGGAGCCCCCACACCUAUUAUAUUGCUAUUACAAAAUUAUGAGUUUACAAGGAUAUCUCUCUUCGGUAGAAAUCAUAAGUGAACAUGAAUAAGUAUACAAGUGAACCGUUGUGAGCUAUAUCAAUCAAGAUGAAUUCAAGAAGUGGGCAAGUCAAAGUUGAUGCAUCGCAAGGGACUUCAAUUUCAAUGAUACGCUUAAUAGCUGUUGGAUGGAAAAUUCCAACCCAUAAGUAAUCAUUUGUUUGACCAUCUUAUUUCACGUGAUGAAUAAUAUGUGCAUAUUAUAAUUUAUAUGUUGGUUACACACCACAUGGGUUUCACUAUAAACAAAGAAAUCCAUAAAGAAAUAUUGAAGCGUCUCUUCUAAUUUAUCUUUAUUUAGAAGCCAACUCUCAUUAUUAUGAAUCGAUCUUGCUAACUUAAAAUAGUCUGAUUGCUGAACAUGAAUGUUAGGCAGAGUCUUAGGCACAUGUUCGUUAAAUAGUUUUGUUGUUCUAUAAAUACAUACAUUAGUGUUGCUGAAUGGAGGCAUUCAGUUAGGUCAAUGAGCAAUGGCAUCAUCGAUACCGUCUUCAAGCUUUGGCACUCCUCCUUCUAUACUGAGUAUUCAGGAGCUGGCCAAACAGCCCAUGGCUACAGUGCCACAAAUCUUUCUCUUGGAGGAUCAGGAGCGUCCCGUUCUCCGAGAGAAUGCUGCCCUGCCCGAUAUCCCCACCAUCGACAUGAAACGUUUGAUUAUGAGUGAAACCACAGAUUUUGAACUAGACAAGUUGCACUCAGCUUGCAAAGAAUGGGGCUUCUUUCAGGUUUUUCUCUGCAAUCUUCACUUGUUUGUCUACUCAUUAAUGCUAUUGCACUUGAAAUUUUAGGGUCUGUUUGGAUGAGCAUGAAAUCUGGUUUCAUUAAUCUGUGAAGACCAAGAAGUGUUUGUGCAUUAUAAUUUGUAUAAAGUAGACUCCCUUUAAUAGGGGCAAACAGACCCUUAUAUUUCAUGGACUUUGUCCUGUUUUUCUAAUAAGAUCAUAGAAACUAACAAUUGGGUUGAUGCACAGUUGGUGAAUCAUGGAGUCAGUUCUUCCCUUGUGGAGGACCUGAAACAUGAGAUUGUAGAAUUUUACAAGCUUCCCUUGGAAGAGAAGAUGAAAUAUAAGACGCCAGCUGAUGCUGAAGGAUAUGGGCCGUCUAUAAUCCGAUCAGAAGAUCAAAAACUUGACU
rnacentral:lncRNA from 1 species